rnacentral:rRNA from 1 species
AUUGAACGCUGGCGGCAGGCUUAACACAUGCAAGUCGAGCGGGCGAGGUUGCUUCGGUAACUGAGCUAGCGGCGGACGGGUGAGUAAAGCUUAGGAAUCUGCCUAUUAGUGGGGGACAACAUUUCGAAAGGGGUGCUAAUACCGCAUACGUCCUACGGGAGAAAGCAGGGGAUCACUUGUGACCUUGCGCUAAUAGAUGAGACUAAGUCGGAUUAGCUAGUUGGUGGGGUAAAGGCCUACCAAGGCGACGAUCUGUAGCGGGUCUGAGAGGAUGAUCCGCCACACUGGGACUGAGACACGGCCCAGACUCCUACGGGAGGCAGCAGUGGGGAAUGUUGGACAAUGGGGGGAACCCUGAUCCAGCCAUGCCGCGUGUGUGAAGAAGGCCUUUUGGUUGUAAAGCACUUUAAGCGAGGAGGAGGCUACCGAGAUUAAUACUCUUGGAUAGUGGACGUUACUCGCAGAAUAAGCACCGGCUAACUCUGUGCCAGCCGCCGCAGUAA